CCUACGGGAGGCAGCAGUGAGGAAUAUUGGUCAAUGGACGAGAGUCUGAACCAGCCAAGUAGCGUGAAGGAUGACUGCCCUAUGGGUUGUAAACUUCUUUUAUAAAGGAAUAAAACGAGGCACGUGUGCCUUUUUGCAUGUACUUGAUGAAUAAGGAUCGGCUAACUCCGUGCCAGCAGCCGCGGUAAUACGGAGGAUCCGAGCGUUAUCCGGAUGUAUUGGGUUUAAAGGGAGCGUAGAUGGGUUGUUAAGUCAGUUGUGAAAGUUUGCGGCUCAACCGUAAAAUUGCAAUUGAUACUGGCAGUCUUGAGUACAGUUGAGGUAGGCGGAAUUCGUGGUGUAGCGGUGAAAUGCUUAGAUAUCACGAAGAACCCCGAUUGCGAAGGCAGCUUACUAAACUGUGACUGACAUUGAUGCUCGAAAGUGUGGGUAUCAAACAGGAUUAGAUACCCUGGUAGUC
rnacentral:rRNA from 1 species